GGAGAAGCUGCAUCUCUGACUGCGGUUGAAGCCGUCUUGUGACCUUGAGAAGCCCGCUGGGGGGCAAAGCCAGAAACAGGAAAGGGUGGAACAGAGAGAAUCUCCAAGAAAUAGGAGCGCUGUUUGAACGACGCCUGAGCUGGACUUCUCAGCACUCUGGCAGAUGGUGUUUUCCAAGAUGGACAUAGCAACUUCUCCUCCACCAAGAUGUGGCAUCUAAUUCUCCUUUCCCUGAAGCUGGGCUGUCUGACGCCUCUCUUGUAACCAAUAAAAUGUGGCAGAAGUGACUCUGUGUCAUUUCCAAAGCUAGGUCAGGAAAGGUCAUGCAACUUCCUCCUUGUUCUCUUAAGAUGCCCACUCUGGGGCGCAGCCGGCCACCACUUCUCUGGGGGAAGGCCAAUCACCCUGAGGCCACCAUGUUGGAGAGGCCACAUGUAGACGCCCAGUGCACUGUCCCAGCUGAGUGCAACCCUCCAGCCAUUUCCCCCAAAAAAAACACCAGAUAGAGUCGAUCCUUAUGAGUCACAGACUCUGAAUUUGUGAAUUCUCUUGCUCACGAAAAUUUAUUUGUAACUCUAGAAUCAAUAUCAGCCGCACCUUCCUGGUCAUUCAUGGAUGUGAACAGAGAGGCAAAAAAAAUUUGAAUCUGCCAACAUGCAUGUUCCCAGCUGAGGUCGAACAAGGUGACACUUUGCCAUCUUGUUUCAGCUCUCAUAAUGUAAACAAGUGUCCUUUACUCAGUCUAUUUAGUCCCGUGUUUUCUGCAUUUUUGUGCUUUUUGUUAGUGAUUUCGCUGUAUAAAGUGGCCUCCAAGUGUAGUGCUGAGAUGCUCUCCCACGUUCCUAAGCUCAAGAACGCUGUGAUGUGCCUUAUGGAGGAAACGCGUGUGUUACACGAGCUUUGUUCAAGUUCGAGUUUUAGUGCCAUCGGCUUUGGGUUCAACGUUAAUGAGUCGACAAUAUGGUACAUCACGGAAAAGGAAGAGGAAAUUUGCCAGCCUGUACCAGAGGCUGCUCUGGAAACUGCUACAGUAACAUGUUAACGCUCAAUGAAGCUAUGGAAAACCUGGAAAAGUGGCUAAACUUGUGGAUCCAUGAGACGAUGACUGAUCAAAAGAAAGUGUAGUGGAUGGCACCGUGGUGUGGCUGAGAGCCAAGGAAAUUCACGGUCACGUUACUCAGGGUCAGGAGGAUGUCACACCCUUCCCGGUGAGUACUCUAGGGCUUAGUAGAAAGAAAUGCUGCUAAACUAUAAUAACUACAAUCCAGGUGGGCCCAAUGUAAUCACAAGUGUCGUUAUAAAUGGAAGCAGCAGGCAGAAGUCAGUGAUACAGUGUGAGAAAGACUGGACUAGCCAUUGCUGUCUUUGAAGGUGGAGGAAGGGGCCCUGAGUCAAGGAACGGGGACCAGCUUCUGGAAGCUGAAAAAAGCAACGUAACAGAUUCUCUGUCGGAGACUCCAGAAGGAAUGCAGCCCUGCUAACACUUUGAUUUGAGCCCAAUGGGCCCCAUUUCAGACUUCUGACCUCCAGAAGUGGUAGACGAUAAGUUUGGGUUGUUUUAGUCCACCAUGUGUGUGAUAAUUUGUUGCCAUAGUGAUAGGAAACUGAAGAAAGUAUUAUUUCCCACACUUUAGAAUUGUUGAACUGAGACUUCGAGAAACGGAGUGACUUGCCCAAACCAGCAACAUUCACAGGGCAGAAAUUUGGUCCCAGGUCUGCGCGACUCCAGGGUGCAGACGGGAGAGCCCUCCAUCAGGAACUCACGUUACUCUUUUGAAUUCGAUUUGGCAAAUGUUGGAGCUGCUGGUGUGAAGGAGCAAGAAGAUCAUCAAGGCUGCUUGGGAUGCGUCCCGGUAGGGACGUUGUGACAUUGCCACUGGACCUAGUCAGGGAUAACUCAAUAUAAAUGCAAAAUUUGAGGUUUGGGUUGGAAGGAUAAAAUAAUAAUAGAAUUAAACUCAACAUUUUAUACAAGUCAA